GUCCACUCUCCAAGACCCAAUGCUGUCCCUGGGGACCCUGACCCGACCUCAGAGUGGUUACAUAUCGGUUAGAAUUUCAAAAAUCUUGGCCAGUAGCUCGACUAGCCCAAAGGCUACUCGGCUCUGUAAUUCGUAAUGAUGCAACGGCGGACGUGAUUGACGUGCGUCUGU